GAUGAACGCUGGCGGCGUGCCUAAUACAUGCAAGUCGAGCGAACGGACGAGAAGCUUGCUUUUCUGAUGUUAGCGGCGGACGGGUGAGUAACACGUGGAUAACCUACCUAUAAGACUGGGAUAACUUCGGGAAACCGGAGCUAAUCCCGGAUAAUAUUUUGAACCGCAUGGUUCAAAAGUGAAAGACGGUCUUGCUGUCACUUAUAGCUGGAUCCGCGCUGCAUUAGCUAGUUGGUAAGGUAACGGCUUACCAAGGCAACGAUGCAUAGCCGACCUGAGAGGGUGAUCGGCCACACUGGAACUGAGACACGGUCCAGACUCCUACGGGAGGCAGCAGUAGGGAAUCUUCCGCAAUGGGCGAAAGCCUGACGGAGCAACGCCGCGUGAGUGAUGAAGGUCUUCGGAUCGUAAAACUCUGUUAUUAGGGAAGAACACAUGUGUAAGUAACUGUGCACAUCUUGACGGUACCUAAUCAGAAAGCCACGGCUAACUACGUG
rnacentral:rRNA from 1 species